rnacentral:rRNA from 1 species
AGUAAAACGUUGUAUACUAGGUGUAGCGGGUAUUGACCCCUUGCUGUGCCGAAGCUAACGCAUAAAGUAUACCGCCUGGGGAGUACGGUCGCAAGACUAAAACUCAAAGAAAUUGACGGGGGCCCGCACAAGCGGUGGAGCAUGUGGUCUAAUUCGACGCAACGCGCAGAACCUUACCCAGACUUGACAUCCUGAGAAUCUGUUAGAGAUAUUAGAGUGCCUUCGGGAACUCAGAGACAGGUGCUGCAUGGCUGUCGUCAGCUCGUGUCGUGAGAUGUUCGGUUAAGUCCGGCAACGAGCGCAACCCCUAUCUUCAUUUGCCAGCGCGUAAUGGCGGGAACUCUGAAGAGACUGCCUCGGUUAACGGGGAGGAAGGUGGGGAUGACGUCAAGUCCUCAUGGCCCUUAUGUCUGGGGCUACACACGUGCUACAAUGGUAUGUACAACGGGCAGCAAGCGUGCGAGCGCAAGCCAAUCCCUUAAAGCAUAUCCCAGUCCGGAUUGGAGUCUGCAACUCGACUCCAUGAAGUUGGAAUCGCUAGUAAUCGUGGAUCAGCAUGCCACGGUGAAUACGUUCCCGGGCCUUGUACACACCGCCCGUCUCUCAAUGAGAGUUGAUUGUACCCUACGUCAUUGGGCCAACCGUCGGGGGGCAC